GGCGGGGCAAAUUAAUGACAAAUGUAGCGACGCCCGCAGCUGUUUCUUAUAGAGCCAUGGGGAGGUAAUCAUGAUACGUGGAAGCAAGGGAGGAAACUGAAGGGGAAAAAAAAGCUAAUGCAAGUGUUUGUAUGUACAAGUACCCCAGUAAAUUAGAAACAGUUGGGGACCUGAAGACUUCUGAAGUGAUUCUACAAGUUGCAAGAUUCCAAUAGCUCAAAUAGAAUGGACUUACACAUUGGGCAUUAUAAAAUGAAGAAGUGACCAAAGUUCUUUCAAAGAAUUCUGUAAAGGUGUGCCAGUUAUAAGUAUCCUAUGAUUGGUAUCAAAGUUCUCCAGGGAUCUGUACAACAAAGAAUCAU